GAUUGGGUCCUGUGCAAUCAGUACCCGUGAACCGAGUCAGGGCCGGAAGGCAGCAGCUCUCAGCGAAUUCCGCUGUGUGCCGCAGAUCACCUGGUCGCC
rnacentral:SRP_RNA from 1 species